UACGUAGGGGGCUAGCGUUGUCCGGAAUCAUUGGGCGUAAAGCGCGUGUAGGCGGUCCGGUAAGUCCGCUGUGAAAGUCGGGGGCUCAACCCUCGAAUGCCGGUGGAUACUGUCGGGCUAGGGUGCGGAAGAGGCGAGUGGAAUUCCUGGUGUAGCGGUGAAAUGCGCAGAUAUCAGGAGGAACACCUAUUGCGAAGGCAGCUCGCUGGGACGUAACUGACGCUGAGACGCGAAAGCGUGGGGAGCAAACAGG
rnacentral:rRNA from 1 species